rnacentral:tRNA from 1 species
GGCUUCACAGUUCAGUUGGUCGAGCAUCGAACCGGUCUCGCGGAGCUCACGGGUUCGAAUCCCGUUGAAGCCU